rnacentral:lncRNA from 1 species
GAACAUGUCUGCCUGGUUUGAUGUGUGGUGGCCUUAUUUAUAUAAGUAACAUUAUGUUAAGACAUUUAAUUAAUAAAUUAAAAAGUGAAUCAAUCAAUAAAUAAAGAUUUUAAUGUUAUAAUUUCUAACCAAGAAUAAUUCUAUUUUCUAAUUUUAUGCAAAAAAAUAGAAUAUUUGUCUUUUAUAAUUUUUUAAUUAAAAAAAGGUGCCAAAAGAAUAAAAAAAAUAAUAAUAAUAGAAAACAAAAAUUAAAUAUAAAAAUAAAAAAUAAAAACCAAAAAAGAUAUUUAAAAACCUAAAAGAAAGAAAAAUUAGUUUUUUUGGUACUUUUUGACCUUUUAGCAAAAAUAACAAAAUAAAAGGAAUGACAAUGGGGUUUA